GUCUCUGAUAGCUCAGUUGGUUAGAGUGUGGCACUCAUAAUGCCAAGGUUGCAGGUUCAAUUCCCAUAUGGGACA